CAAUUUUUAAUCAAAUAUUGAUCAGGAACUACAGAAUUUUCGACUACAGGGCGUCACACUACAGAGAACAGAACGACAGUCACAACGUCCCAAAAUACGACAGACUGAAAAUUUGCUGUUGUGUUUUUCAAGUGGGUGAGACGUCUAUACGGCGUAUACGCAGAUUGCUGUCCUCUCUAUUAAAAGCAACGUUGCUGAAACACGUCGUACAAGACGCUGUACGACUCGCAUAACAUCGAAAUACAACGCCGUCACCAUCCAUGAGAUCACCGAAAGCACGGUCGCUUUCGGUGGCGGCCUACAGAUGGCAGCACAGGUAGCGCCGGUAAAGUUACAGGUGAUAUUAUUUUGCCGUCCUCAGUUGUCGCCACAUGUGAGUGCUUGCUGCAUUGACGCCGUCCGAUGUAGUUGUUUAAUCGUGUGUACGCUGUGCCGAGAGAAAUUGUGGUGCAUUUUGUAUGCAUUGAGAAUCAUAAAACCCCUGGUACCGCGUAAUGUAGCCCGCAGUAUCCUUCGUGUGGUGCGCCGAUGUCGAAGAUAUGACCCUUCGCGCUUCCUUUGUUCCGGGCUCAUGAACAGGAUCUCCUCCUCUGGCACUGUCGCAUCGUAUCGCGCUGUACGGAAGAAUUUGGUGAAAGUUGUGCUCUUACGUCCUGUAGUUGAUCCGCAAUUCAACAGUGUGUGCGCCGGAAGGACCGUUGGUGCAGUCGAUGCCGCGGCACCUGUGGCGCUAAAAGGAGCGUUUUCCGAGUACGCCUAGAAAGGGAUGGCAAGAUUUUGUGAACCAGAGGCACCUCCACAUAUGCACCUGCGGCACUUCUGCAGCCUCAACAGCACGGAAAAGUACCUGAUGUGCAUGCUGUGACAAGCUGCUGUAGGUAUGGCUGGACCUGGAGAAGAAGUGUAAGCAGACCAUGCUAUGUUGCUGAUCUGCGCUGAAAUCCACAUCCAAGUUGGUCCCGCGACAGUUGGGCACCAUUGUGCCUUGCUUCAUUGACAAGGUGAUAUAAUAUGGUGCCCUGCUCGCUCUCACCCAAGCAACCCACUCCAGCGGUCUUCUCUCGGCAGACUGGAUGCAUCGAAAUACCGUUAGAAGGUCCAAUAAACAGUGCUUGGGACAUUUA
rnacentral:lncRNA from 1 species